UACAGAGGGUGCAAGCGUUGUUCGGAAUUAUUGGGCGUAAAGCGCGUGUAGGCGGCUUUGCAAGUCGGGUGUGAAAGCCCACGGCUCAACCGUGGAAGUGCGCCCGAAACUGCAGAGCUUGAGUACCAAAGAGGAUGGCGGAAUUCCCCAAGUAGAGGUGAAAUUCGUAGAUAUGGGGAGGAACACCGGUGGCGAAGGCGGCCAUCUGGGUGGUCACUGACGCUGAGACGCGAAAGCGUGGGUAGCAAACAGG
rnacentral:rRNA from 1 species